GCCUACCAAGGCGACGACGGGUAGCCGGCCUGAGAGGGCGACCGGCCACACUGGGACUGAGAUACGGACCAGACUCCUACGGGAGGCAGCAGUGAGGAAUCUUGGACAAUGGGGGAAACCCUGAUCCAGCCAUGCCGCGUGAAUGAUGAAGGCCUUAGGGUUGUAAAAUUCUUUCAGCAGGGAAGAUAAUGACGGUACCUGCAGAAGAAGCCCCGGCUAACUCCGUGCCAGCAGCCGCGGUAAUACGGAGGGGGCUAGCGUUGUUCGGAUUUACUGGGCGUAAAGCGCACGUAGGCGGACUUUUAAGUCAGGGGUGAAAUCCCGGGGCUCAACCCCGGAACUGCCUUUGAUACUGGAAGUCUUGAGUCCGAGAGAGGUGAGUGGAACUCCG
rnacentral:rRNA from 1 species